UACGGAGGGUGCGAGCGUUGUUCGGAAUUAUUGGGCGUAAAGGGCGCGUAGGCGGCGCCACAAGUCACUUGUGAAAACUCUGGGCUCAACUCAGAGCCUGCAAGCGAAACUGUGGUGCUGGAGUAUGGGAGAGGUGCGUGGAAUUCCCAGUGUAGCGGUGAAAUGCGUAGAUAUCUGGAGGAACACCGGUGGCGAAGGCGGCAGCCUGGACCAUGACUGACGCUGAGGAGCGAAAGCCAGGGGAGCAAACGGG
rnacentral:rRNA from 1 species